rnacentral:lncRNA from 1 species
UGCUUUUUAGGGCUGCACCCACAGCAUAUGGAGGUUCCCAGGCUAGGGGUCAAAGUGGAGCUACAGCUGCUGGCCCAUAGCCACAGCAAUUCCAGAUUCAAGCUGUGUCUUCGACCUAUACCACAGCUCAUGGCAACAUCAGAUCAUUAACCUGCUGAUCGAGGCCAAGGAUAGAAACCUCAUGGUUCCUAGUCGGAUUUGUUUCUGCUGCACCACGAAAGGAACUCCUAUCUUUUGCUUUAUUUUUACAGCCACAUCUGUGACAUAUGGAAGUUCCUGGGCUAGGGGUCGAAUCGGAGCUGCAGCUGUGACCUGUGCCACAGCUUAUGGCAAUGCCUGAUCCUUAACCCACUGAGAGAGGCCAGGAAUCGAACCCACAUUCUCACAGAGACGUCAGGUCCUUAACCUGUUAAGCCACAGUGGGAACUCCAAGGCCAGGUAAGGUUUUAAUUGUUUAAAUAUUUGGUGAUGAAACUAACUGCAUCCAAGUUUUAAAGUUGUAAAUGCAGAAUGGUACAAGGCCUAAGGAAGCUGUAGGCCAGUGGUGUCAGACUUUUCAAAAAAUGAGCAAAAAUCUUCGUGCAGUAUUUCAGCAUUCAACAAAUAUAUUGAAUGGCUACUCUGUGCCAGGCACUGUGCUAGGGGACACAGCAGCAGCAACACAGACCUGAUUCCUGCCCUCGUGAGUUUAGAGAAGGAGGCAGACAUUGAACAAAUAAUUGAAUAAGUAGAUAAUUAAUGAGUUGCAAUUGAAGUAACGCUGUGAAAAAGAUGUAUGCAGCCAGGUGGCCAACAUAGACUUGAGAGGCAUCCCCAAAGAAGUGACAUUUGAGCUGUGAUCUGAAGGAUGCACAGGAAAUAAGCAAAGAGGUAGAAGAGAGUCCAGACAGGACAUAUUACAAGAAAAAUCCCAGAGGCAAGGAAGCAACUUGUGCUGGAGGAAAUUGCAGAAGAUGGUUGUGGGGAAGCCAGGCCAGCAGGGCAGCACAGAUGAAGACGAAGGGAGGCAGGCACCAGACCGCCAGGACCUCACGGGCCAGCUCAAGGAUGAAAACAGGAAACUGGGGAGCUGCUCUGGCUAAAAAGGCGCGAACCCCUGACUAGCCCCCCACACACACACACACACACACACAGUCUCAUCCCCUGGCCUUGCAGCCUCCAAGGCCCUCGGAGGACACCCACAGCUUAUCAGAACAUAGCUUGGAAAGCCCAAAUCCAGCCCUACUUGGCAUUUUCUGAUGAGAAGAGUAGGACCUGACAGUCAUCCACCCCCAGUGCCCUCUCUGUUAACUCUGGAUCUACUCCAGCUUCCCUGGAGAGAAGGCUGGCAGGGUGUCAUCUUGGGACAGGCUCUGAGAACACCACACAUCAAAUGUUUCAAGAGGGAGCCUCGAGAGCCAAUCCGGCGUCUGGAAUGGAGGAUGGGCCCCAAGGAUGGGAUUUUGUCCCUUGCCUGCCCCUGGAGCCCUCCGUCUCUCCCGCCUCGCUGCCAGAGUCCCUGACCCCCUGGGCCUCUCCGCAUCACUCAUCCCGAGGCAGGGGCAGGCUGCCCGCCAGGACAGCAGAUCCCUCUUAAGCUCUGGCCUCAACAUUCCUCUCCACCCCAGGGGUCAAGGUCCGAUGUGGGGUAUUUUCCCAAGCCCUGGGGAACAGAGGCGCCUCCUGACAUGUACAGCUACUGCUCCGAGCUAGAGGGGAAGCUAGCAGGGAAGUUGGGCUGGAGAGGGGAGCAGUCAGCAGGCUCCUGGAGCAGAGCUGCAGGGAGAGAGAGCCCCAGGAAGUAGGGAAGUUGAAGUCAGUGAUGCGAAAGGGGCUGCACUGCAGGUAUCUGAGCCAAGGUGAGGAUUUUCCUGCCCCGAUCCAGCUGGUUGUCAUCUAACCCCCCCGGGGUCUGGCCCCUCUAGAGACCCUUGCUGGCUUCUGCAGGUCCUGGGGCAGAAGCCAAAGGCAGCCACCCCCCGGGGGACAGUAGCUGGACUGAGAGCCCCCCAGCAGGGCCCAGGGAGCACAGGGAUUGCAGAGCCCUCGGCAGCCCUGCAAGGGGUCAAAGGUCGAGCAGAUCAAGCUGGUGAAAAGAUCCUGAAGAUGAAGGAGGAGGCAGGGGCAGUUGCCCCCCAGCUAGUUUAGAAGGAGUGGUGGAGGGAAGCCUCUUGGGGCCUGGAAGGUGAUUUCAUCAGCCAAGGUUGGCCUGAGGUGGAACUGUGCCACAUCAGCCCCCUGCUUCCCACUUCUCCCUCCUGCCCUGUGAGCAUCAGGUACCUGUCAUCCCGCCAUCCUUCUCCAGAGGAAAGCAGGUACAGGGGAACAAGGGAACAGGUGUCAGAGGCCUGGAUUCAAGUCCUCACUGCUCCCCACUUUAGCUGUAUGAUCUUCAGUAAAGAUCACAGCCUCUCUGAGACGCCACUGCCUGUUCUGUACAAAUGAGAUGAAUACUUCUAGACUAUGACAUGCCAGGGGACAUCCAAGUGGUGGUGUCCACUACACAGAGUUAAUUUUAAAAACUAAGAAGGAGUUCCCGUCGUGGCGCAAGGGAAAUGAAUCCAACUAGGAACCAGGAGGUGGCAAGUUUUAUCCCUGGCCUCCCUCAGUGCGUUAAGAAUCUGGCGUUGCCAUGAGCUGUGGUAAAGGUCGCAGAUGUGGCUCGGAUCUGGUGUUGCUGUGGCUGUGGCGUAGGCUGGCAGCUGUAGCUCUGAUUGGACCCCUAGCCUGGGAACCUCCAUGUGCCAAGGGUGUGGCCUUUAAAACAAAUUUAAAAAGAAGAAGACCUACCUCGUAGGACUGUAGAAAUGAUUGAGAAAACCAAGGUAAAGGCCUUAGUUAGCUAUCACUUAGUUAGCCAGGGUCUUAAACCUCAUUUCCAAGCUAGAGACUGGGCUGGAUAGUGGGCGGUGAGGGCCCGAGGUUGGGAAAGAUUUUUCUCUAUUAAAGAGAAAACGGAAAGAGAGAAGUCAGCUCUCACAACACCCCUCAGCCAAGAGCCCAGGCAGACAGCGUCUGCUCCAGAGGAAGGGCUGGUGUUCUCUGCUCCAUUGCCCUCUGGCAGGCACUUAGCUCCUGUUUUCCUCGUUAAGUGUGGCUGUAACCUGGCCCUCUUAACACUGCUGCUACAAGGUCCAGAAACAAUCCAAAGUCCCCAAACCAACAGCAUCAGCUGCUUUCAACAUCACCUCCCAGCUGGAUCAACAAGGUGGGACUGAACUCAGGGCUGACGGCAGGGAGUCAGGGCAGACAGCACUGGGAGUAGACGCUGGGUCUCAGGGACCUCGCUGUAUGCACAGCAAUGCUAAGCAUCUUGACACUGUAAAAGAGAGAAAAAAGAGGAGUUCCCACCAUAGCUCAGCGGUGGGUAACAAACCCAACUAGGAUCCACGAAGAUGCGGGUUUGAUCCCUGGCCUCGCUCAGUGGGUUAAGGAUCUCAAGUUGCCGUGAACUGUGGUGUAGGUUGCAGAUGCAGCUCGGAUCCCGAGUUGCUGUGGCUGUGGUGUAGGCCAGCAGCAACAGCUCCGAUUCAACCCCUGGCCUGGGAGCCUCCAUAUGCUGUGGGUACGGCCUUAAAAAAAAAAAAAA